UCCAAGCCAAAGACUGACAGCAAAGCAGAUUGCAGGUUAGAAGGUGGUGACUGUGACAUCACAGGGAGUGACAUGGACUGACAUGAUCCACUUUUGGAAUGACAUCUAAGAGAUACCAUCCUUCUAUGGCUAUUUCCAGAAGAAUUUCACUCUCAUCCAAAGACAGUCAAGGGAAGGAGAGCCAAGAAGCCUACACUAGACAUUCAGAUCUGACAAAGUGUUGAGUGGAAGAUUAUGCUGGAGGGGAUGGGCAGAGACACGAAUCACAAGACAACAGGUGAGAACCUGUGUUGCCAAAACAAACAUUAGAAAAGAUGAGUUCAGAGAGGAGCUCUUCCUACCUUCUCCAAAUCUACAGUGAAGAAGAUGACAGCAGAAACGCAAAGUUGUUCUCUGGGUGUGCAGUGCUGGGUUCACCAAAUCAGUGCCUACAAUAAAGCAAAAGUAAAGAAUCACAGGAGGGCCGUGGAUUUAGCUCAGGGUCACCGCACCUGCCUUGCAAGUGCAAGGUCCUGAAUUCUUUCCUGGGUAUUGAAAAAAAAAAACAAAAAGAAUUGCAAGAAACUGUGUAUAUUCCUGACACUUCAUUAAAAGAACAGGAAGUGCUUUCCACAAGCUGUGCUAGAAUCAAACCAGAUUAAAAGUGUCAUCAUUUUUAGGUCAAUAAUUCACUUUACAUCUUGCGAACAUUAUCAGUUUAACCCAAAGCUGUUUGUGUCUUCAUAAUUUCCAGAUGUGUCUUGACAAGGGCUGCUGCAAGAUGAACAAAUAGGCCCGACUCUGAAUUAUGAGAGGACUCCUCUGACAUGAGCUGCGAGGCUCUGAGAACUUUCCACUCAUUUGGUGUUUAGUAAUUCUCUUCAGACAAGACAAUGAAAACCAAACAAGCCUUCAUGUCAAAUGAACGGGAAACCAGGGAAGCCAUGCCACGAAUAAAGACCAGAUCUUCAUGAUCUAAGAGUUUGCCCUCAUUGUUUGAUUGAUGACUCAUUCAUUUAUGCAAGAAGGAUUUGUGAAAACUCUACAGGUCUGGGAGUUCUGCUCAGUAAGAUGUUAAGUUUUAGCAUGAG
rnacentral:lncRNA from 1 species